rnacentral:rRNA from 1 species
GACGAACGCUGGCGGCGUGCCUAAUACAUGCAAGUUGAGCGCUGAAGGUUGGUACUUGUACCAACUGGAUGAGCAGCGAACGGGUGAGUAACGCGUGGGGAAUCUGCCUUUGAGCGGGGGACAACAUUUGGAAACGAAUGCUAAUACCGCAUAAAAACUUUAAACACAAGUUUUAAGUUUGAAAGAUGCAAUUGCAUCACUCAAAGAUGAUCCCGCGUUGUAUUAGCUAGUUGGUGAGGUAAAGGCUCACCAAGGCGAUGAUACAUAGCCGACCUGAGAGGGUGAGCGGCCACAAUGGGAAUGAGACACGGCCCAAACUCCGACGGGAGGCAGCAGGAGGGAAUCUUCGGCAAUGGAGGAAAGUCUGACCGAGAAACGCCGCGGGAGUGAAGAAGGGUGUCGGAUCGUAAAAAUCUGUUGGUAGAGAAGAACGUUGGUGAGAGUGGAAAGCUCAUCAAGUGACAGUAACUACCCAGAAAGGGACGGCUAACUACGUG